rnacentral:rRNA from 1 species
GAUGAACGCUGGCGGCGUGCCUAAUACAUGCAAGUCGAGCGAACAGAUGAGGAGCUUGCUCCUCUGACGUUAGCGGCGGACGGGUGAGUAACACGUGGAUAACCUACCUAUAAGACUGGGAUAACUUCGGGAAACCGGAGCUAAUACCGGAUAAUAUAUUUAACCGCAUGGUGCAAUAGUGAAAGACGGUUUUGCUGUCACUUAUAGAUGGAUCCGCGCCGCAUUAGCUAGUUGGUAAGGUAACGGCUUACCAAGGCAACGAUGCGUAGCCGACCUGAGAGGGUGAUCGGCCACACUGGAACUGAGACAGGGUCCAGACUCCUGCGGGAGGCAGCAGUAGGGAAUCUUCCGCAAUGGGCGAAAGCCUGACGGAGCGACGCCGCGUGAGUGAUGAAGGUCUUCGGAUCGUAAAACUCUGUUAUGAGGGAAGAACAAAUGUGUAAGUAACUGUGCACGUCUUGACGGUACCUAAUCAGAAAGCAACGGCUAACUACGUG